CUUACUACCCUCUCCACUACUGUUCCAUCGAUGUGGAUAGGGAGGUGUUCCCUCUGCUGUUUCCUGAAGUCCACAAUCAUCUCCUUAGUUUUGUUGACGUUGAGUGUGAGGUUAUUUUCCUGACACCACACUCCGAGGGCCCUCACCUCCUCCCUGAGGAUUAUACAACAUGCACAUUUAUAUUCAUAUUCAUACACGGUCUUGUCAAAUACACUGAACAAAAAUAUAAACACAACAUGUAAAGUGUUGGUCCCAUGUUUCAUGAGCUGAAAUAAAAAAUCCCAGAUUCACAAAAAGCUAAUCUCUCAAAAAUGUUGUGCACAAAUUUGUUUACAUUCCUGUUCAUGAGCAUUACUACUUUGACAAGAUAAUCCAGCCACCUGACAGGUGUAGCAUAUCAAGAAGCUCAUUAAACCGCAAUAUCAUUACACAGGUGCACCUUAUUUUGAGGACAAUAAAAUAACUCUAAAAUGUGCACUUUUGUCACACAACACAAUGCCACACGUCUCAAAUUUUGAGGGAGCUUGCAAUUGGCAUGCUGACUGCAGGAAUGUUCACCAGAACUGUUGCUAGAGAAUUGAAUGUUAAUUUCUCUACCAUAAAGCACCUCUAACAUCAUUUUACAGAAUUUAGCAGUAGGUCCAACUGGCCUCUGUAGAUGAACAUGUACUGUAUGUGUUUACAGGAAGAAUUUCCAUUCAUUGAAUGUUCAGAUCAUCUGUGAUGCCCAUAUGCAACUACCCAAUGUAUGCUCUAAUUGGCCAGGGUCUACGCACGACUCAUUCAUUCUGCGCCACAGCAGAGUAGGCCUGCGUCUAGAAGCUGGUGACCAGGGCUAUCCACUGAAAACAUGGCUUCCCUUUUUGCCGAUCCCUGAACACCAGAUGAAAUGCCCUACAAUUUAGAGCAUGGCAGAACAAGUUUGGUUGUGGAGCAUGUGGCGUUGCCUUGAUGCAUCAGGUGGAAAACUCCUCUACAAGCCAAAGGUCACUUCUUUAAUAAAAAAACAAAACUUACAUUUUGUUUUAAAAUGGGUCAACUUAAAGCAACAUAUACCAACAUUUUAUAUUUAGCAUUGUAUUGAAAUUGCAUACCCAAAGGUUCUGGUCAAAUAUCUGAAAACAAGUUUUUAAUUUGGCCCUACGGUUACUGAGAUGUCCCAUUGAAGCUUGUUCAUUUUGUAGCAAUGCUAGUGUAUGUCACGUUCUGACCUUUAUUUCCUUUGUUUUGUCUUUAUUUAGUUGGUCAGGGCGUCAGUUGGGGUGGGCAGUCUAUGUUCUGUGUUUCUAUGUUUGGUUUCUGUUUCGGCCUCGUAUGGUUCUCAAUCAGAGGCAGGUGUUGUUAGUUGUCUCUGAUUGAGAAUUAUACUUAGGUAGCCUGGGUUUCACUGUUGGUUUGUGGCAUGUUCAUUUUAUACUAUUAAAACAUGGACACGUGUCAGUGCCACACUUUGUUAUUUUGUAUUGUGGAAUGUUCAUUUUAUACUAUUAAAACAUGGACACUUACCACGCUA